GGCCUAAAUAAUACCUAAAGUGCAAAUUUAGGUAAGAAAGUAAUUUUUCAUAGGCUU
rnacentral:tRNA from 1 species